rnacentral:rRNA from 1 species
AUGGCCACGUCAUGCCCAGUAUCCGCAACCCCUCGUCAUCCUUCCGAACCGGAGCUCAUCAAGUCGUACCUCCUCGGUCGGAUCACGAAGGACUUGUCAUGGGAAUUCAUCCACGACGCCGACGUCUACACCGCGGACCCGGCCAGCCUCACUGGCAAGUUUCUCCCGGCAAGCGACGACAGUGACGAGAAAGUGUGGUACUUCUUCUCGCCGGUGAGGACGAAGAACGUUCGCGGCCAGCGCAAGGCGCGGACGCUUGAAUCCGGGGCGGGAUGCUGGCACUCUGAGGCAGGCACGAAGGCCGUGGAGGACGGCGACGGUCACCGCGUGGGAUGCCGUCAGUUCUUCUCCUUCGUCUACAAGCACAACGGUCAACGGAUCCGGACUGGGUGGUUGAUGGUGGAACUCCGGCUCGACCGCGAACAGGUGGAGAAGAUGCCGUCGGACGACCCGGAUCUGGUCUUGUGCAAAAUUUACUUCACACCACGUGUGUCAUCUUCAACUGCGCAUGCCACGGCAGAGGCUGCUGAUGACGAGAUUGGAGGUAAAAGGAAGAACGACGACCAGAGUCCCGACGAAGCACCUCCAGUAAGACAGCGUUGUUGCCAUAAUCUGCCUAAAGCAACCGCUUCGAGCAAUGUGGUGACCACCGUCAUGGACGAAGACGUGCCUUCAGCUCGAACGACGCCGCCGUCGACUUCAGCUCCAACGUCGUCGAUGUUGCAGUCGCGGCGGGAGAGGUUAUCCUGUUCGUCGCUCGCAGCCGAAGACGAGCCCGCGACGGUUUUUCCUGCUGAGAGCAGCAUCAGUGCCACGCGCAUCGUGGCGCCACCUUAUUUCGUACUUCCUUCCUCGGAUUACAGCAGACAAGAAGUAUAUGUAGUUUGCAGAGGUGACUGCAGUUUAACUCAUCAGAUUAUUAGAGGUGAUUGUCGUGUAACCAUUACAAUUUGUAGGGGCGAUUGCCACGUCGCCUGA